rnacentral:rRNA from 1 species
UACGGGGGGGGCAAGCGUUGUUCGGAAUUACUGGGCGUAAAGGGCUCGUAGGCGGCCAACUAAGUCGGAUGUGAAAUCCCCAAGCUUAACUUGGGAACUGCAUCCGAUACUGGAUGGCUUGAAUCCGGGAGAGGGAUGCGGAAUUCCAGGUGUAGCGGUGGAAUGCGCAGAUAUCAGGAGGAACACCAAUAGCGAAGGCAGCUCGCUGGGACGGUAUUGACGCUAAGGCGCGAAAGCGUGGGGAGCAAACAGG